CUUUUCUUUGGGCAGAUAGAGUAGAACUCAAGUAGGAGAAGAAAAAAAAACAGAGAGACUGCCAACUGAAUACUAUAUUUUAUUCUUAUAAUUUACCAAAUGGUAAAUUCAAUGCGAUUAUACGAGUAAAAAUCCAAUUUUGUUGUGAUUUUUAAGGGAAAGAUCGGAUUUUGCAGUUCCAAUCACAUGGCCGCUGAGCAGAUUGACUUCCCAUUGCUUCCUUCUCUAGUUCUUAACUUUCCUUUUUUGACUUUUCUCCCGCCGCUGAAGCUUUCAUUAAUGGCGGAUUGGGAGGUUACACUUGCCGACGUGAUUUGCUUGCCGUUUCUGUUUCCUUCUAAAUUCUCAGCGAGCUGCUCCUGUUCAACGCUCGAUGCAGAAACUGAACCAGAAAUUUUGAAACAGAUACAGUAGUCUCAUCUUCCUUUAUACCACAUCAAGGUCAUGAAACUAUAGUUCAUGCUAGUUCUAAGAUCAGUAUGGAAAACAGUUCAGAGUGUAGAGAAGAUAACUAUUCAGAAAUCGAUUGUUCAGAAAUCAGAUAUGAUUUGGAGAAGUUUAUAGGCAAGCCGCCUUUGGAUUUGCAUCCUAAACCACCAAAGUUUAGGAGAAGAUUAAGGCAGAUCCAAAAAACUCUACCUUUGAGCCAAGAAUUAUCAAGUUUUUCUGAGUAUAUGUUCAGUAUCAACCACCACCAAGUUAGGAAGACUACUCAAAGUAUGAUUGAGAAUGAGUUCUUCAUUGAGUGUUCACCGGUUGUUCGAUCGGGAAAUGUAGUCAUGAUACCUUCAACUAUAUAUGAUCCUAUAGAAGGCAUGGCGAAGAGAAUGAGCCUCAAAGAAAUCUCACCUUCUAGAUUGACAAGUAGUGAAGAAAACUCGCUUCCCUAUUUCAUGUUCAUUGCGGAUGAUUGUAGUUGUGAAACUAUUGUGGCAAGUCCUAUGAAGCUCAAACCCUCUGAAAACAAGUCCUUGGAUUAUGUUUAUAGCUUCCAUUCACUGAAAGCAAGCGGAAAUUUAUCAAACAAGAGUGUUACAUAUGCUCCACAUAUUGUUGGAAGGAUGACAGUCUCGAGUUCUCUCAUUGUGAGCUUGAACAGAUCGAAAUUCAUAGAGACUGAGUUUGUUUUGUUCGAUAGCAAGGGAGAACAAUCAAUGGAAAAAGAUGUGUCUUCAUCACAAUUGAAAAAGCUUGCCACCAUAUUUCGACCAAGUAGUACAUUGAAGCACAAUACUAAAUCACAAAUGAUCGACGAAUCAGAGUGCCAAGAUCACGUUGCAAAUGGCCUUUCACCGAUCCUUGAGCUAGCCGCAAUAGUUAUCCGAGAUUACGGGUACAAAGAAUCAAAAGGAGAAGCUUUCGGUGGUUGGGGCCUCAAGUUCCUUGAGAAAAUUGAAUCUAAGAAUUCCUUGAAUGAGAGUCACGAAGAAAGGCACAAACACUUGAAUGUUCUACUCCCAGCGGGACUACACGGUGGACAGGUCAUGAAAGACGGCGGUCCAUCGAGUCUUAUUGAUCGAUGGAAGGCCGGCGGACAUUGUGAUUGUGGAGGCUGGGAUGUUGGGUGUCCAUUGACAGUGCUGAAAAGCCACUCAGUUUGUUCAAAGACAGAUUUGGAAGAGCAUUGCAAGCCCUUUGAACUUUUCAUAGAGGGUAGAAAGAAGAAUGAACCAACUCUCAAACUGAUGAAUGUCAGCAAAGGCAUUUAUGUUGUGAACUUUGAGCCAACUCUAUCAGCUCUUCAGUCUUUUUCCAUAGCAGUUGCUUUCAUUCAUUCUCAUGAGACUGUAAUCUGAAUAAUUUUUUUCUCUGUUCUUGUUUUCAUUGUUAAAAUCUAUCUUUUUUGUAAAUGGUCCACUGAGCAAUAGCAUAGUCUCAACUAAAAAAGUAAGAACUGUUCUUGAGAAUCUCAUCCAAUUCCUGUUUUAAAAGUUUUUUUUCAUGGAGAGGAAAAACUGCAAGUUGAAUCUGACUCAGACUUUGUGUUUGUGGAGUUGAGUAGGUUUCUGUCAGUGCAGAACCUGUUCAGUAUUGUGCUGGCUGUUUUUUUUCUUGUGAUCUAGAUGUUUUGAUGUUGAUUGUUCCAUGUGUUUUGUUGGAUUGGAUUUUGAUCAAAUCAGUUUGAUGCAUUAGACUCGCACGAGCAUAGACUAGCUUGAAUUUGAGCAUUGUCGAAGGAUAAAAGAGGUAAUUUAUAAUAACAAAGAUGUUUUUUUAUUAACUGUUUAAUUUUUAUUCUGAUAAGUUAAAAUUUUCAAGCAUAUGGGGUUAUUUAGAAAUGGAGAUUCCAAAUUUAGGGACUUAUUUAUAAAAUUGGAAAUUGAGAAGGUGGCAAUUAGAAAAUAAAAUUCUCUUCUGCGAAUAUUUAAUUGGGAUCGGUGGAAGCCGCGUUGGAAAGCUGACGCCGGCAUUCUCCGAUACGUAUUAGCUCGUCGACGACGGCGACGGCGACGGCGACGGCGACGACCACGUGCUCGGCUUUCUCCUCCCGCCCGACGCUCCAAAUCCCGGCCUUUCCGUCUUCGAAUCGUCGCCUAUAGUUGCGCACGCCCAGGGAGCAACUCGAACCGGCGUUUGAUUAGGCUUCUCUUUGCGCCCUUGGAACGAUUCCUUCGUGGCCCAGGAAUCCUUUCUCAUGUUGCUUGUUUUCUGGAUAAGAAUAUUGAAAGACAAUGCAUAGAUGGAAAGAAAUGGAAACUCGGUUAGCAUUACCAGCAGGGAAGG